AGUGAACGCUGGCGGUAGGCCUAACACAUGCAAGUCGAACGGCAGCACAGUAAGAGCUUGCUCUUACGGGUGGCGAGUGGCGGACGGGUGAGGAAUACAUUGGAAUCUACUUUUUCGUGGGGGAUAACGUAGGGAAACUUACGCUAAUACCGCAUACGACCUACGGGUGAAAGCAGGGGAUCUUCGGACCUUGCGCGAUUGAAUGAGCCGAUGUCGGAUUAGCUAGUUGGCGGGGUAAAGGCCCACCAAGGCGACGAUCCGUAGCUGGUCUGAGAGGAUGAUCAGCCACACUGGAACUGAGACACGGUCCAGACUCCUACGGGAGGCAGCAGUGGGGAAUAUUGGACAAUGGGCGCAAGCCUGAUCCAGCCAUACCGCGUGGGUGAAGAAGGCCUUCGGGUUGUAAAGCCCUUUUGUUGGGAAAGAAAGGCAGCAGGUUAAUACCCCGCUGUUCUGACGGUACCCAAAGAAUAAGCACCGGCUAACUUCGUG
rnacentral:rRNA from 1 species